UGGGUUUGUAGCUUAAUGGUAAAGCAUUGGACUUUUAAUCCAGUGAGUACAGGUUCGAGUCCUGUCAGACUCA
rnacentral:tRNA from 1 species